ACUACCCCUAAAAGCCAAAAUGGGAGAGGAAAAGAGUCAUCAACAUUGUCGUCAUUGGACAUGUAGAUUUAGGCAAGUCUACCACUACUCGCUAUCAAUCUACAAAUGCGGUAGCAUCAACAAAAGAACCAUUGAAAAAUUUGAGAAGGAGGCUGCUGAGAUGGGAAAGGACUCAUUCAAGUAUGCCUGGGUCUUGGAUAAACUGAAAGCCAAGCAUGAACAUGGUAUCACCAUUGAUACCUCCUUGUGGAAAUUUGAGACCAGCAAAUACUACCUGACUAUCAUUGAUGCCCCAGGACACAGAGACUUCAUCAAAAACAUGAUUAUAGGGACAUCUCAAGCUGACUGUGCUGUCCUGAUUGUUGCUGCUGGUAUUGGUGAAUUUUAAGCUGGUAUCUCCAAGAAUGGGCAGACCUAAAAGUAUGUCCUUCUGGCUUACACACUGGGUGUGAAACAACUAAUUGUUGAUGUUAACAAAAUGGAUUCCACUGAGCUACCCCACAGCCAGAAGAGACAUGAGGAAAUCGUUAAGGAAGUCAGCACUUACAUUAAGAAAAUUGGCUACAACCCUGAUGCAGUAGCAUUUGUACCAAUUUCUGAUUGGAAUGGUGACAACAUGCUUGAGCCAAGUGCUAAUGUGCCUUGGUUCAUGGGUUGGCAAGUCACUCAUAAGUAUGGCAAUGCCAGUAGAACCACUCUACUUGAGGCUCUGGACUGCAGUCUACCACCAGCUUGUCCAACUGACAGGCCCUUGUGCCUGCCUCUCCAGGGUGUCCAUAAAAUUGGUGGUAUUGAUACUGUUCCUGUUGGCUGAGUGGAGACUGGUGUGGUGGUUACCUUUGCUCCAGUCAACCUUACAACUGAAGUGAAAUCUGUUGAAAUGCACCAUGAAGCUUUGAGUGAAGCUCUUCCUGGGGACAAUGUGGGUUUCAAUAUCAAGGAUGGGUCUGUCAAGGAUGUUCAUCAUGGCAAUGUUGCUGGUGACAGCAAGAACAGCCCGCCAAUGGAAGCAGCUGGCUUCACUGCUCAGGUGAUUAUCCUGAACCAUCCAGGCCAAAUCAGUGCUGGCUAUUCCCCUGUACUGGAUUGCCACACGGCUCACAUUGCAUACAAGUUUGCUGAGCUGAAGGAAAAGAUUGAUCGCCACUGUGGUAAAAAGCUGGAAGAUGGCCCAAAAUUCUCGAAGUCUGGUGAUGCUGCCAUCGUUGAUAUGGUUCCUGGCAAGCCCAUGUGUGUUGAGAGCUUCUCAGCCUAUCCACCUCUGGGUCGCUUUGCUGUUCGUGUUAUGAGACAGGCAGUUGUGGUGGGCAUCAUUUAAGCAGUGGACAUGAAAGCUUCUGGAGUUGGCAAGGUCACCAAAGCUCAGAAGGCUAAAUGA